rnacentral:rRNA from 1 species
UAGAUGCGAGAGUAGAGCAUAUCAAUAAGCGGAGGAAAAGAAACUAACUAGGAUUCCCUCAGUAACGGCGAGUGAAGCGGGAAGAGCUCAAAUUUGAAAUCUUAAAGGGUUUCCCUUGACGAAUUGUAGUUUAAAGAAGUGUUUUCUGUUGAAGUUUUGGUAAAAGUUCUUUGGAAUAAGGACAUCAAUAGAGGGUGAGAAUCCCGUAUUUGACCAUUAUUUCCAGCUUUGUGAUACACUUUCAACGAGUCGGAUUGUUUGGGAAUGCAGUCCAAAAUGGGUGGUAAAUUUCAUCUAAAGCUAAAUAUUGGCGAAGAGACCGAUAGCGAACAAGUACCGUGAGGGAAAGAUGAAAAGAACUUUGAAAAGAGAGUUAAACAGUACGUGAAAUUGUCAAAAGGGAAGCGUUUGACACCAGUGUUGUUUUUCCGAAAAUCAAUUACGAAUGUUUUGUUUUUGAGAAGUUAUGACUUCAUCGGCUUGCUUCUCUCUUUACGAAACUUUCUUAAUGCACUUUUCGGUUAACAAGUCAACAUCAAUUUCUUUUGUUGUAAAAGGGUAUGAGGAAGGUGGCUUUCUUUUCGGAGAAAGUGUUUAUAGCCUUGUACCUCUGCAAUCGGAGAGAUUGAGGUCUGCAGCGUAGAUCCUUCGGGGUUAGAUACAUUUGUGCUAAGUUAUAGCUUUUCAUAGACAACUUGUUGACUAUGUUAAGCCUUGUAAUUUACUCGCAGAUGCUAUUUUACCUACGCUUAGGAUGUUGACACACGCGCGUGCUCG